AGUAUAUGAUCAAUAAUGAUUUAUUUAAUUAUUGAAUGAAUAAUAAAUUCUUUGUCAGAUAUUUCUGCUAUUUAGUUUAUGAGAGAACUGUCGUUUUUAUCUUAUGUAUUUUGUGGAAAUGGAAAAUAGAAAUUUAAGAGAAUAAUAAUAGACAUACUCAUAUCCAAAAAAGUGUUCAGUGGGAUUUUCUUUUUUUUAGACAGUGUGAGGUGUGGACUUCUUUCUUUUUUUCAGUGUUAUGAUAUCUACAGGGUUUAACGUAGAAUAUAGGCUUACCAAAGAAAAUUCUUUCAAAUCUAUAUAAAAAUUUACUUAGGUUUUCAGAAGCCCACCAUGAACUGAAAUUCUACUCAGACAUUAUAUAUGGGUAGUUUCAUGACUUUUCCCUUUAUGCUAUUUAAAAGUGUUUUAUAAAAUGGUUCUUUACUUUUGUUUCUUGAUUUAGCACUGACUUUGAUUUCUCAAUGAGUCCUCUGUGGUCUGAUAUGUCUUAAGCUGAAUGGGGCUUGUGGUUCCAUGGAAAUCUUGAGUCGUCUUCCUCACAUUUGGCAUUGAAAUGGCAGUAGUUAGUAAAGAUGGGGCAUCUGUGUCUUGUGAAAAACAUGGAGGAAAGUGUAUUUGAGACCUGUCUUUGCUGUUUAUUAAUUGUGAGUCUGAGUUUACUUUGCCCUGCAGUGAGAAUUGUGGUUGAUUUGGAACAGAGAAGAGAUUAUUGGGCAAAUGAUUGGCCUUGGACCCCUUGCUGGAGAGCAUAUCAAGGAGACUGUGGAGAUCAAGGAUGGUCUGGGAGAAUAUGUCCUG